UCUGUUUUACAAGUUUUUUUUAUCUAGUUUAAAAGUCAUUGAAAAGGCGGAAUAUUUAAAUAUUGCUUGAUUUUUUUUUCAGGAAACACACGCAUUUUAAAAACCCUCAUUAACAAUGGUGCUGACGUGAAAAAUGAAUCGAUUGCACUUGUUUGGGCCGCUAAAAAUGGGCAUUUGGACAUCGUUAAACUAUUGACUGAAAAUGGAAUGAAUGUCACGGGCACUCCCGAAGCACUCAAUUGGGCCGCUAAGAAAAAUGGAAAUGUGAAUGUUGUGAAAUAUCUUAUUAAAAAUGGUGCACCAGUUCAAUACACAGACCGAUAUGGUUUUACUCCGCUUCAUAUGGCUGCUGAAUGUGGUGAUGUAAAUAUUAUGAAAUUUCUCGUUGAACAUGGUGCUGAAAUAGA